rnacentral:rRNA from 1 species
CACGCAGGUGGCCUGUCAAGUCUAGGGUGAAAUCUCCCGGCUCAACCGGGAGAGGUCUCUGGAUACUGGCAGGCUUGAGGGCAGCAGAGGAGAGCAGAAUUCCCGGUGUAGCGGUGAUAUGCGUAGAUAUCGGGAGGAAUACCAGUGGCGAAGGCGGCUCUCUGGGCUGUCCCUGACGCUGAGGUGCGAAAGCGUGGGGAGCAAACCGGAUUAGAUACCCGGGUAGUCCACGCUGUAAACGUUGGGCACUAGGUGUGGGGGGUAUUGACCCCUUCCGUGCCGUAGCUAACGCGAUAAGUGCCCCGCCUGGGGAGUACGGCCGCAAGGCUAAA